GGGAAAAACGAUCUCAUCCAUCUCUAACUCCUCAUUUUCUUGAAAACUCUCUUUCCGGCGCCACUUUCUCCGGGAAACUCGCAUACAUUAGUAGCUCUUUACACCACUGUGGAGGAGUAGCUGAUCCGGGUCAGUUGAAUAACGACGAGGAGAAAGUUCAGUAAUACCUAGGUUUGGUCAAGCUAACUCAAGGUUAGGUGGAUGGAGGACUUUUGUUGACACUUCUUUUGUUGACACUUCUCUUGUUUCCUCAUCAGCAUUGCAAUUGUUUUUGGUUUUGGGUUACUCUUGAUUUUGCUUUUGUGCAUGACUUAGACUUUUGUAUAUCGAAUGUAGUAUGAUAGGUUGAAGCCUGUUAUAUAUGACUUCUUCUAUGGUUGUAAAUGAU